rnacentral:rRNA from 1 species
CCCGGGCCUUGUACACACCGCCCGUCACACCAUGGAAGCCGAUUCAAACAGAAAACGAUUUGCCUAACUUCGGAGGGCGUCGUUGAAGGUGGGAUUGGUGACUGGGGUG